rnacentral:rRNA from 1 species
AUACGAAGGGUGCAAGCGUUAAUCGGAAUUACUGGGCGUAAAGCGCGCGUAGGUGGUUUUGUAAGUUGGAGGUGAAAGCCCCGGGCUCAACCUGGGAAUUGCCUCCAAAACUGCAUGACUAGAGUACGGUAGAGGGUAGUGGAAUUUCCUGUGUAGCGGUGAAAUGCGUAGAUAUAGGAAGGAACACCAGUGGCGAAGGCGACUACCUGGACUGAUACUGACGCUGAGGUGCGAAAGCGUGGGGAGCAAACAGGAUUAGAUCCCCUGGUAGUCCACGCCGUAAACGAUGUCAACUAGUUGUUGGGUUCCUUGAGAACUUAGUAACGAAGCUAACGCGAUAAGUUGACCGCCUGGGGAGUACGGCCGCAAGGUUAAAACUCAAAUGAAUUGACGGGG